UGCUCAUGCUUUAGGUCUCCCAGUUUUGGAUAUCACUUUACUGCAUGGCCAGACUGAGCCUUGAUUCUUUCUUUUAAUUAUAAUGAGACAGAGACUUCCACCUUUCAAGGGACCGAGGCUCAUGAAAGGUUUCCACGUGCCCCUUAUUCUCUGUCCAACUCAGUGCCCAAAUAAUGUUCCAGACUUAACUGCACUGCCUUCAGCCAUCUGCCUCAAGGUGAGAGAUUUAAAAGUCUCAAGGAUCCAGACACCCAGAGCUGGCAUCGUUCCCCCAUAGCCUGCAAGACAGCAGUGACAGAAAGAUGACACAAUUCUGCAUCUGCAGAUGUGACCGGGAUGUGCCUUUCCUGGGGUAAAACUGAAAGACGACUAGUAACCUCAAGAAUGAAGAAAGGUAUAAUUCUUUGUGUCUCCAUAGGAUACUACUGGUAUAUUAUCUAAAGAUCUGGAUGACCAGAAGGAGGUGGCCUGGGAAGAUCCACAGGAAAAGUGUUCCAGAAAGAACAGCAAACAAAGCCUACCUGGAGGGGGUGACUGGAGCAAGAGGGAACUGAAGUCUGUCUUUGUGUGUUACGUGGGAGCAAAGAUCAUGUGACUUGGAAGUGUGGUGUGCAAAUGAAGAUGAGCUGAUUUAACUCUGAGAUUCUGGGGGAGGCAGAAAGUGAAGAACCGAAGUGGAUGUAUGACAUCUGGAACCCAACUGAAUCCAGCUCAUAUACAUGACUGCCACAGUAAAUUCUCCUAUGCCCUCUCCUAUGCCAUGUUUAUGCCUAGACAUUUCCUUGCAAGCAAGCUGUGUUCUUUGUUUCCAGAUUGGGUAGGGCUUUCUCUUCCUGCUUGACAACGAGGUCCUGAUAAAUGUAGAAAUGUAGUAAAUAAUCCGUGCACCAUGAUUCAUUUCUUCUCUAUCACAAUGUGAUCAAUCACCGUAGGUUAGUAAGUGCUGAUAGAUUAGGUUUCAAAUUUUGUAAAAACAAGGCUAGCACUUAACAUUGAGGGCCAGCUGAAGGCACUGGUUUUUCUCAGCCUUUGGACUGAGAUGAAUGUAUCGUAGAGGCUAAUCUUAGAGAACAAGCUUGAGCACUGGAAACUUGAUCAAAGCAAAAGGCCCAUGGUGGCCCCCUGGCUGAACACAGACAGGUCCAUCAGGCGGUCCACCUCAAAAUAUUCAUAGGCCCUAACCAAUGGGUUAGUUACAACCAGGCACAGUUACCAAAAAAGGGAAAAUUCCAUACAUCCCCCUAUCUCCUCACUUUUUCUCUUUAAAAACAGCCCCCGCCCACUGCCUCCUUGCAGAUAGUCUCUCUGCUGUCCUGCCUGCUGCUCCCUUGUGGAUUCAGUAAAUUUCUCUCUCUUUGGUUCUGCUUCAGGCGAAUUCUUUUCACCACCCACGCUACUGGCUUUCACCCCUACAUUUGGGGGCUCCCACCUGAUCUGGUUGGGAGAGACAUCACAUUUAGACACCACAAAUGUGAGUUCCAGCUCUUCAUUUUCAGCCAUAUGAUGGCAGUUGCCUUUGCUAAGCCUCAGUUUCCUUCUCUAUAAAAUGGGGAUAAUAUAGUACCAUAUCCAUUAAAUGAUACAAUACAUAUAAAACACCUACCACAUACAGAAAGCACUCAAAAAUUUUAAAUUAUUUUUAUGGAUUUAAUCUUAAUGUAAUGAUUUUCCAUUCUUGCAUGCCACAAAAUGUGUGUGUGCAUGUGUGUGUGUGUGUUUGUGUGUGUGUGACAAUAAAUAUGCUAUAGAAAUGAGAACCAAUCUUUGUGUUUAUAAUAGCAGAAUGGUUAUUGCCAAGUUGAUGAUAUGCUCCAUUAUCUGGUUUCUUUCACACAAGAUAAUGUCUGUGAGAUAAAUCCAUAUUGUUGCUGUAUUAAGAGUUUUCUCCUUUUUAUUGAGGAAUAGUAUUCAAUUGUAUGACUAUACCACAAUUUAUUCACCUCUGGAUGGAUAUUUAGGACAUUUCCAGUGUAAACUUAAAGAAAAAAUUUUAAUGUUUAUUCAUUUUUGAGAGAGAGAUAGAAC